GAGGGUAUGGCUCAGUGGUAGAGCACGUGCUUAGCAUGUACAAGGGGUUCCAUCCCCGGUACCUCCA
rnacentral:tRNA from 1 species